UUAUCUUAUUAGAAAAUAAUAUUAUUUUUGUGCGUACGGACCACGAAUAAUCAAUUGCCAAUUAUUAUUUGUUAUUUGCACAAUUUUAUACACUAUUACAAUAUUGCAUUUUUAUUAUAGCCCUCUACGCUGUUUUACACUAUUGUAAUAUUUAUUACUUGGGUUCAUAUUAUUCAAUAUUCGUAUCGUGUUCGCUGUAGUUGUCUGCUUUACGUUCCUAAAGAUUGUUAAUAAUUGUAUUACAUCAACCGUAUACUCUUGUUUUCAUUGUUUAAAUUGUUUUAAAUUGUAAUACAAUGAGUGAUUGUUAUUCUUCUUCCGAAGUCGUUCAUGUUGCAGAUUUAGAAGAACCAAUUUUACCAUGGCCAAAUUAUUAAAAAUAUUUUUAAGUAUUAAGAGUCAUUGAUUAUAAUUUUUUUUACAAGAAACUGAAAGUGAAGUGCUUAAGUUGUGUCGAUACAAAGUGUUACAGGGUGGAUUCACGUUCAAACUCUAAUAUAAGAAAACAUUUAAGCACACAACAUUCAACUAUAUUAAAGAAAAUUGAUCACAUUGAUUAUGCAGGGAACAAAAACUGUUUAAAGAGACUCAAUGAUGGAUCAUUGAAGCAUAAUCCUGGUAGUUCUUUAAAACAACCAGUUUUAGAAGAUUUUUUGAAGAACAAAAAAUUAACUAGUCAAAUUGCAGCAUUAACAAAAGUAGUUGAUAUCUUCAUGACUAUACACUGGUACAUUGCUAGUGAAUGAUACGGUUGUUAAUGAUUUAAAAAAAAUCGACACAUUCAACUUGAACAUUCUAAAUGAUGAAGACCAUGAUUUGCCAUAUGCAUUACCAAAACACCAUCGAUGUUGUGCACACACAAUACAUUUAAUAGCAACAAUGAUAAUUAAACAUUUAUUUAAGUAGAUAACCUAAUAUAGUUAAAUUAUAAAAUACUAAAAAUAUUUUUAUCGAAAAGAAUAUAUUUUGAGCAAGUAUAGUGAUCAGGACAAAACUAUUAGGUAGUAGCAUUGAUUAUAAAUACAAGUAUUUAUAAUCAAUGGUAGUAGGUUUAACACUUAAUAAUCAUAAUCAAAUUUGUAUGAGUUGUAAUACAUUUAAAAAUUAAAUUUUCUUUCAAUUUAAAUGAUAAAAAUAUAUGAAAAAUAUAUUCUAAGAUUUAAGUAUGAAUAUGAUUGGCUUUAACUAUUUUCUAUUAUGUAUACCCAAAUUUCAAUUUUAAAUAUCAAUAAAUUAUGUUUGUUUAAUUUUUUAUUAUUAAUUACAAAUUUGUACAAAUUAAAUACAAAAUAAAAUAAUUUAUUUGUAUAACUUGUUUUUUCUAGGACUCUAAAAAAGCUUUGUCUAAUCUUGCAUACAAAAAACAGUCAAGAAGCACUUUUGCCAAGUCUACCGCUUUGUGGAAUAAACAAGAUCGCUCAACUAAGUCACCUGAUUUAUUUAAAUAAAAUCUUGGUGUUUAUUUAAUUACACCCAACGAGACACGUUGGAAUUCACUGUAUGAUGUAGUGGUGCUGCUUAAUAAAUAAAUUAAAAAUAAUGAACUUAAGUUUAGAAUAAUAAUGGAAAAAUUGGCUAUUGGCUGGUAAAUUGUAAAUCUUAAAAAAUUAUUAAUUAUUUUAUCUAUAUUUUUUAUGAACAUGGUGAUAUUUAUUUCAUAUGUCAAUAUCAAACAAUUAUGGGGCCAAUUUCAAUAAGCUUGGAUUUACUCCAGGGUGAUACUAACAUGUACUUUGGUCAUCUCCUACCUAUAAUUGAAGAAUUCAUUUAUAAAUAUGAAUUAAUGACAAGUGAUCAAACAGUUUCUAAUUAUUUGAAACCUCUGGUGACUGUCAUACUUAAUGGUAUGAAAACAAGGUUUGCCGAUUAUUUGAUAGACAAAUUUUUAAUUACUGCUGCAGUCUGCCACCCACUAUUUAAAAAGUGCUUGUUAUGACUUACAUACCAGUGAUAAUGGCAAUAAUGAUGUAGAAGAUAAACAAAUGAAAGAUAAUUUAUCUACCUUUUUAACCUGGUCACAAAAUUCCCGAGAGGAAAAAUCAACAGUUAGUGAUGAAAUAGAUAGAUAUUUGGGCUCAUCUCCAAUAAAGACUUUAGAAUGUUUGCAUAAUUUACCCACUAUCAAAAAAUUUUCAGGUAUUUGUGAACUACCUAGCAGUGCAUCAGUAGAGAGUGUUUAGUGUUGGUGAUGCAACAAUACUAAAAAAGAACAAAUAUGACGAAUCAACAUUUUGAACAAAUAUGUUCUUAAAAUGCAACACUCAAAUGUUCGAUUAAUAUAAUAUAUUACGAAUGACUCAGAAUUAAAUUGAUUUUUUUGUUUUGUAUUUGAAAAUUAUUUCAAAUACUUUACUAUAGAUAUUAGAUAGUAUUUCUGUAGUAUUUUAAAUACUUUAUUUUAGUAAUUACUCAAAUCAGUUAUCACUGUAAUUGGUACAGUGUUUAAACGUGGACUUAUAAAUUAACUUCUUGUAGAGCCCAUUGUAGGUAAACAAAGGAGAAAAUAAUAAUAAAAAAAAAGAUCACAAUAUACUAUGUAAUAUUAUGUAGGUUAUUUUAUUUGUUAAAAAUCUAUGAAUUUCUUUUUGAAGUCUAAAAUUAAUAUAGUAUUUUGUGUUUUUCAGUUCCAAUAGGUCUUCUGUUGUUCAUUUUUAUACCAAUUUUUUAGAGCCAUGCAAGCACAUGAACAAUAUUCUUGCAGAUUUAGUUUUAGAAGACAAAUUCUGGAUAACAUAUAUGAUAAAUGUUAUUCUUUGUACGAAGAAAAGUGUUAAGCUGAAGAUUUGACUUGCUUAAAUAUUAUUAAAAUAUAAUAGAUGCUAUUCGCCAGAGAAAAUUUGGCAAUUUUGAGUACAAUGUCAUAUUACGCAGUAUGAAAUGUGUUGACGUGAGUGUUUCAAAGACUUAGUUGUAUAGCAGAAAACAUGUGGUCACUGUUCGUCACCGGCACAACAGUCAACGUCUUUAGCACCCGCAGAACCGUCACACGCACAACAUCGCGCACUAGUCGCUCGUCAUCAACCGUCGUCGAUCUCGCGGCCGUUGUGGCCGGGCUUUGUCUGCUGCUGUGGUCGUCUUCGCGUCUCGAGCCAACGUGCCCGCGACUCGUCCGCCCCGCAGUACGGCCUUGAAAACUCUGUAUUGGUAACCAGUAGCCACUUAUUUCCAUACAUCAUUUGCACUACCCAUUUGCCAUUACGUACCCAUCCCCCCUCCAUGUCGCCUCGUCUUAUUUGAUGUCUUUUUG